rnacentral:rRNA from 1 species
UACGUAGGGUGCAAGCGUUGUCCGGAAUUAUUGGGCGUAAAGAGCUCGUAGGCGGGUUGGUGCGUCGGCUGUGAAAUCCCGAGGCUCAACCUCGGGUCUGCAGUCGAUACGAGCAAACUAGAGUGUUGCAGGGGAGACUGGAAUUCCUGGUGUAGCGGUGAAAUGCGCAGAUAUCAGGAGGAACACCGGUGGCGAAGGCAGGUCUCUGGGCUAACACUGACGCUCAUGCACGAAAGCGUGGGGAGCAAACAGG